CCUCGCGAGGCUGCGGCUGGGGCAGAAAUCCGUCUCUGUGAGCGGAGGAGGGUGUGCUUAUGCGAGAGCAGGUUUUGGGAGCUCACUAAAACAGGGUCUCACUCUGUUGCUCAGGCUGGAGUGCAGUUGGUAUGAUCAUGGUUCACUGCAGCCUCAAUCUCCCAGGCUCAAGCAAACCUCCACCUCAGCCUCCCAAGUAGCUGGGACCACAGGUGAGUGCCACCAUCACACCUAGCUAAUCUUUAAUUUUUUUUCUAGAGACAGAGUAUCACUAUAUCGC
rnacentral:lncRNA from 10 species